UACGGGGGGGGCAAGCGUUGUUCGGAAUUACUGGGCGUAAAGGGCUCGUAGGUGGCCAACUAAGUCGGACGUGAAAUCCCCCGGCUCAACCGGGGAACGGGCAGCGAUACGGGCGGCCUGGAGGGGGGUAGGGGGGGCCGGAACUCACGGUGGAGCGGUGAAAUGCGUAGAUAUCUGGAGGAACACCGGUGGCGAAGGCGGCAUCCUGGACCGGCAUUGACGCUGAGGCGCGAAAGCCAGGGGAGCAAACGGG
rnacentral:rRNA from 1 species